ensembl:miRNA
GGACUGGGCAGAUCCUCCACCCUGAGCCAUGCUGUAUGCAGUGCCCUGCCCAGAAGGUACUUAUCACUUAGCCUACGUGUAAUUAGUACCUGUCCGGGUAGAGUAAUGCUCAAGCAGACCAUCAUUUUUGGAGGCCUUCUGACCG